AGCGUGCACGGUGGAUGCCUUGGCAGUCAGAGGCGAUGAAGGACGUGGAAGUCUGCGAAAAGCGUGGGGGAGUUGACAACAAGCGUUGAGCCCACGAUGUCCGAAUGGGGAAACCCACCUGUUUUUAACAGGUAUCUUAUGCUGAAUACAUAGGCAUACAGAGGCGAACCGGGAGAACUGAAACAUCUAAGUACCCCGAGGAAAAGAAAUCAAUUGAGAUUCCGGCAGUAGCGGCGAGCGACCCCGGAUUAGCCCUUAAGCUUUAUUGGUGUUAGUGGAAGGCUCUGGAAAGUGCCACGAUACAGGGUGAUAGUCCCGUACACGACAAUGCCUUUAAAGUGAAAUCGAGUAGGACGGCACACGUGAAAUGCUGUUUGAAUAUGGGGGGACCAUCCUCCAAGGCUAAAUACUCCUGACUGACCGAUAGUGAACCAGUACCGUGAGGGAAAGGCGAAAAGAACCCCUGUGAGGGGAGUGAAAUAGAACCUGAAACCGUGUACGUACAAGCAGUGGGAGCGGACUUGUUCCGUGACUGCGUACCUUUUGUAUAAUGGGUCAGCGACUUAAUUUUAGUAGCAAGGUUAACCGUAUAGGGGAGCCGUAGGGAAACCGAGUCUUAACUGGGCGAAUGAGUUGCUAGGAUUAGACCCGAAACCCGGUGAUCUAGCCAUGGGCAGGUUGAAGGUGCCGUAACAGGUACUGGAGGACCGAACCGACUAAUGUUGAAAAAUUAGCGGAUGACUUGUGGCUGGGGGUGAAAGGCCAAUCAAACCGGGAGAUAGCUGGUUCUCCUCGAAAGCUAUUUAGGUAGCGCCUCGUGUCUCACCAUUGGGGGUAGAGCACUGUUUCGGCUAGGGGGUCAUCCCGACUUACCAACCCGAUGCAAACUCCGAAUACCAAUGAGUGCAAUCACGGGAGACACACGGCGGGUGCUAACGUCCGUCGUGGAAAGGGAAACAACCCAGACCGUCAGCUAAGGUCCCAAAGUGUAUGUUAAGUGGGAAACGAUGUGGAAAGGCUCAGACAGCCAGGAAGUUGGCUUAGAAGCAGCCAUCUUUUAAAGAAAGCGUAAUAGCUCACUGGUCGAGUCGGUCUGCGCGGAAGAUGUAACGGGGCUAAGCUAGUCACCGAAGCUACGGAUGCACACUUGUGUGCAUGGUAGAGGAGCGUUCUGUAAGCCGUUGAAGGGAAAGCUGUAAGGCAUCCUGGAGGUAUCAGAAGUGCGAAUGCUGACAUGAGUAACGAUAAGGGGAGUGAAAAACUCCCCCGCCGGAAGACCAAGGGUUCCUGUCCAACGUUAAUCGGGGCAGGGUGAGUCGACCCCUAAGGCGAGGCAGAAAUGCGUAGUCGAUGGGAAACGGGUUAAUAUUCCCGUACCGGAUGUUAUUGCGAUGGGGGGACGGAGAAGGCUAGGUGGGCCAGGCGACGGUUGUCCUGGUUCAAGUGCGUAGGCGGUUAUCUUAGGAAAAUCCGGGAUUACAUUAACGCUGAGACACGAUGUCGAGUCACUAAGGUGAUGAAGUCAUUGAUGCCAUACUUCCAGGAAAAGCCUCUAAGCUUCAGAUAACAUCGGAUCGUACCCCAAACCGACACAGGUGGUCGGGUAGAGAAUACCAAGGCGCUUGAGAGAACUCGGGUGAAGGAACUAGGCAAAAUGGUACCGUAACUUCGGGAGAAGGUACGCCGGUGUUGGUGAUGGGACUUGCUCCCUAAGCUGAUGCCGGUCGAAGAUACCAGGUGGCUGCAACUGUUUAUUAAAAACACAGCACUGUGCAAAAUCGCAAGAUGACGUAUACGGUGUGACGCCUGCCCGGUGCCGGAAGGUUAAUUGAUGGGGUUAUCUUCGGAGAAGCUCUUGAUCGAAGCCCCGGUAAACGGCGGCCGUAACUAUAACGGUCCUAAGGUAGCGAAAUUCCUUGUCGGGUAAGUUCCGACCUGCACGAAUGGCGUAAUGAUGGCCACGCUGUCUCCACCCGAGACUCAGUGAAAUUGAAUUUGCGGUGAAGAUGCCGUAUACCCGCGGCUAGACGGAAAGACCCCGUGAACCUUUACUAUAGCUUGGCACUGAACAUUGAACCUACAUGUGUAGGAUAGGUGGGAGACUUUGAAGCAGGAACGCUAGUUCUUGUGGAGUCGUCCUUGAAAUACCACCCUUGUAGU
rnacentral:rRNA from 1 species